AGGAAAGCUUCAACAAUCUCUCCGUGGACACAAUGACGCCUCUACGUUUCGCUGUUGUCUUCGUCCUCCUCUUUGGUGUAUUUGUCGCGAGUGAAGCUGCACCGGAAGGGCACGAGCUUGAACGUCGUGACGGUGACCCUAACAUCUGCGUUUGUCUCGAGGGUAUUACGUGCCCUAACGGCCAUUGCACCUCGCUGAGCAAGUGCAAGAAAUGCUCCGUGAUCGUGGGAUAAACAUCGCUGACCGACAGCCCCGAAAGGAUCAAUUCGCACGUAUUAAGUAACGGA